rnacentral:tRNA from 1 species
ACAGGGAGACAAACCACUAUUUUGAAGUCCGAAUUAUUUUAUUCUUAGGCCAAAAUCCUGUCACCUUAGGUCGAUCGGUACCUCAACUUUGUACCUAAGAUUGUUCAGCAAUGGAUAUCAGCUUGGUGGAGAUGUUCAGUUCCUAAACUUUGUCUAGGUCACACCCCAUUAGGGAUGAGACUCCUGGGCCAUUAGCUCAGGUGGUUAGAGCGCACCCCUGAUAAGGGUGAGGUCCCUGGUUCAAGUCCAGGAUGGCCCAUUCGGUGUAGGGGGUUUAGCUCAGUUGGUAGAGCGCCUGCUUUGCAAGCAGGAUGUCAGGAGUUCGAGUCUCCUAACCUCCACUGACUGAAAUCAUCCUCAUCUGCCAGGCCUGGAGUAUGAACUCCUCAGGAGUGUGAGUUUUAUGUGUGCGCUAGAUGAACCAACCUACCUGCCGGUUUUAGGCAAGAAAAAAUUCCACGAAAUUGGAUGGAAAGAAG